rnacentral:rRNA from 1 species
UACGGAGGAUCCGAGCGUUAUCCGGAUUUAUUGGGUUUAAAGGGUGCGCAGGCGGGGAUGUAAGUCAGUGGUGAAAAGCUGCCGCUUAACGGUAGUCUUGCCAAUGAUACUACAUUUCUUGAGUAUGGUUAAGGUAGGCGGAAUGUGCAGUGUAGCGGUGAAAUGCAUAGAGAUUGCACAGAAGGCCGAUUGCGGAGGCAGCUUACUGAGCCAUAACUGACGCUGAGGCACGAAAGCGUGGGGAUCGAACAGGA